rnacentral:rRNA from 1 species
UGACUNGAGUGCAGAAGGGGAGAGUGGAAUUCCAUGUGUAGCGGUGAAAUGCGUAGAUAUAUGGAGGAACACCAGUGGCGAAAGCGGCUCUCUGGUCUGUCACUGACGCUGAGGCUCGAAAGCGUGGGUAGCGAACAGGAUUAGAUACCCUGGUAGUCCACGCCGUAAACGAUGAGUGCUAGGUGUUAGGCCCUUUCCGGGGCUUAGUGCCGGAGCUAACGCAAUAAGCACUCCGCCUGGGGAGUACGACCGCAAGGUUGAAACUCAAAGGAAUUGACGGGGGCCCGCACAAGCGGUGGAGCAUGUGGUUUAAUUCGAAGCAACGCGAAGAACCUUACCAGGUCUUGACAUCCCGAUGCUAUUCUUAGAGAUAGGAAGUUACUUCGGUACAUCGGAGACAGGUGGUGCAUGGUUGUCGUCAGCUCGUGUCGUGAGAUGUUGGGUUAAGUCCCGCAACGAGCGCAACCCUUAUUGUUAGUUGCCAUCAUUAAGUUGGGCACUCUAGCGAGACUGCCGGUAAUAAACCGGAGGAAGGUGGGGAUGACGUCAAAUCAUCAUGCCCCUUAUGACCUGGGCUACACACGUGCUACAAUGGUCGGUACAACGAGUUGCGAGCCGGUGACGGCAAGCUAAUCUCUGAAAGCCGAUCUCAGUUCGGAUUGGAGGCUGCAACUCGCCUCCAUGAAGUCGGAAUCGCUAGUAAUCGCGGAUCAGCACGCCGCGGUGAAUACGUUCCCGGGCCUUGUACACACCGCCCGUCACACCACGAGAGUUUGUAACACCCGAAGUCGGUGAGGUAACCUUUUAGGGGCCA